UGGUCUAAGCCUCUGCCAACCCACUGCCAAGGGCUGCCCAAUGGUAAGAGCCGGGGACUGUCCUUAUCCCUCGUUUACUAGACGAGGAUUCUAGCCCUGGUUGCUGGACUUACUUAUUAUUUUAAACAUCACAACCAUAUUCCAUCUACUUGGUUUCUUUUGUAAUCUUGUGUCUCUUAUUGCAGGCACUGGCAAGCAUCAUUCUGAGAAAGGGGAAGGAAGGGAGAGGAAGUUGGGGAAAGGGAGAGCUUUUCUUGGAAACCCCCUCAGGCUUCAAGAAGUAUUACAAAGAAAUAAGAAAGCAUUAAUUCCAUGACGA
rnacentral:lncRNA from 1 species